rnacentral:rRNA from 1 species
CCUACGGGAUGCAGCAGUUGCGAAACCUUCACACUGUGGGAAACCACGAUGAGGAGAUUCCAAGUGCCAACACCCAGUGUUGGCUUUUCAGAUGUCUAAAACGCAUCUGGAAUAAGGGCCGGGUAAGACGGGUGCCAGCCGCCGCGGUAACACCCGCGGCUCAAGUGGUGACCAUUAUUAUUGAGCUUAAAGCGUUCGUAGCCGGUCUGGUAAAUCUCUGGGUAAAUCGAACGGCUCAACCGUUCGAAUACCAGGGAGACUGCUAGACUUGGGACCGGGAGAGGCCAGAGGUACUCUUGGGGUAGAAGUAAAAUUCUGUAAUCCUAGGAGGACCACCAGUGGCGCAAGCGUCUGGCUAGAACGGAUCCGACGGUGAGGGGCGAAGCCCUGGGGCGCGAACCGGAUUAGAUACCCUUGUAGUC